rnacentral:tRNA from 1 species
UACCUUGAUAGGGUAAAUUAUGUAACAACUAUUACAUUCA